rnacentral:lncRNA from 1 species
CCAGAGGGUAUAUGGGCUAGACUUGAUGAAAACUGAAAAUUGGACCGCUGAGAAAUUUCAAAAGACGAGCAGCCAAGCAACAUAACUAUAAAUAGAUAAAAUCAAAAGAAAUAGAUACCAUCUAUAAUACAAAUAUACGUGUGGCAGUUUUCCAAUGAUCCACAACAUGGGUUCAUAAGAAGUUUGACUUAACCUUAGUUAGAGACUUCGUGCUGAUAACGUAUUAUAAAACAAUAAAGAAUAAAGAAGAAGAGUAGAGAGAAUAGAGGGAGUGAUUCUUAUUUCUUCUCUU